UUACGUUGACCUAUUUGAAUAUUAAUUGAAGUAUAAAUUUUUAUUACAUGAUUUCAGAUGACUAAUAUUAUGUACUAUCUUAUUUUUAAUGAAUAAUUCUUGCAAAUGUUUUUUUUAUAUAUAUGCGAAUUUCUGACUAAUUAGUUGUUAGUUGUGUUUUAUUCAAAGAUUUUGUUGAGGAACCCCCAAAAUCAACUCAGAAUGCAUUAGCUCUGGCAGAUAAACUAGAAGGAAGUAAACGUCGGGGGAAGAGGUACAUUUGACAAAAGAUUCAAAUUUAGAUAGUUCCACACCUAUUCAAAAUUUAAAUUAGUUGUUGCCUUGUACCAGUGAAGUGCCAGACUGUGAAAGGGAGAGGCUCUGGAAAAAAACAAGUUUCCUCAAAAACACCAAAAUGAAGAAGGCAAAGGGAAGAAGAAGCAAAGAAGGACUACGAAUCCAAAGGGGGUGACAUGCAACUAUGCAAGCGUAGUAUGCACCUAUAUAUUGAUGUAUUUUAAUGCUGAUACGAAUAUUCAAUAUUAUAUAGCUAUGUAUUCUAAAUAUAUUUAACAUUGUUCAUUUUAGUUACUGAUACAUCAUAUUUGAUUAAUAACACAAACAUAAAACAAAUU
rnacentral:lncRNA from 1 species